rnacentral:rRNA from 1 species
AUGGGAGCUUGCUCCCUGAUGUCAGCGGCGGACGGGUGAGUAACACGUGGGCAACCUGCCUGUAAGACUGGGAUAACUUCGGGAAACCGGAGCUAAUACCGGAUAACUUCAAGCACCUCCUGGUGCUUGAAUAAAAGACGGCAUCUAGCUGUCACUUACAGAUGGGCCCGCGGCGCAUUAGCUAGUUGGUGAGGUAACGGCUCACCAAGGCGACGAUGCGUAGCCGACCUGAGAGGGUGAUCGGCCACACUGGGACUGAGACACGGCCCAGACUCCUACGGGAGGCAGCAGUAGGGAAUCUUCCGCAAUGGACGAAAGUCUGACGGAGCAACGCCGCGUGAGCGAUGAAGGCCUUCGGGUCGUAAAGCUCUGUUGUUAGGGAAGAACAAGUAUCGGAGUAACUGCCGGUACCUUGACGGUACCUAACCAGAAAGCCACGGCUAACUACGUGCCAGCAGCCGCGGUAAUACGUAGGUGGCAAGCGUUGUCCGGAAUUAUUGGGCGUAAAGCGCGCGCAGGCGGUCCUUUAAGUCUGAUGUGAAAGCCCACGGCUCAACCGUGGAGGGUCAUUGGAAACUGGGGGA